AACGAACGCUGGCGGCAGGCCUAACACAUGCAAGUCGAGCGAGACCUUCGGGUCUAGCGGCGGACGGGUGAGUAACGCGUGGGAACGUGCCCUUUGCUUCGGAAUAGCCCCGGGAAACUGGGAGUAAUACCGAAUGUGCUCUACGGAGGAAAGAUUUAUCGGCAAAGGAUCGGCCCGCGUUGGAUUAGGUAGUUGGUGGGGUAAUGGCCUACCAAGCCGACGAUCCAUAGCUGGUUUGAGAGGAUGAUCAGCCACACUGGGACUGAGACACGGCCCAGACUCCUACGGGAGGCAGCAGUGGGGAAUCUUAGACAAUGGGGGAAACCCUGAUCUAGCCAUGCCGCGUGAGCGAUGAAGGCCUUAGGGUUGUAAAGCUCUUUCACCGGGGAAGAUAAUGACGGUACCCGGAGAAGAAGCCCCGGCUAACUCCGUGCCAGCAGCCGCGGUAAAAC
rnacentral:rRNA from 1 species